CCCACUUUCUUAAUCAUAGGGAAGGAUUCAUAGUACUUAGGAGAUAAUUUUUGAUGAAUAACCUUCCUAAUUGUCUGCUACCUAUAAGGUUGUAGUCGUAAGUAUACUAAACUGCCAACUUGGAAGCUCUUCUCGGAUCGAUGUUUGUCAGAUAAUUGUUUCAUACGAGCUUGAGUUCUUUUGAGAUGGAAUUGCAAUAGCUUCCUUGCAACCUCUCAGGCUUGCAGACUUUUGUCGACCAUUACCACUGAUGAGACUCCUGCUAAGUAAGGC
rnacentral:lncRNA from 1 species